GCCGUCGUGGCGCAAUGGCAGCGCAUCACCUUCCUACAAUUAUAUUGGUGGCAGGUGGGGGUUGCGGGUUCGACCCCCGUCGACGGUA